UACGUAGGGAGCAAGCGUUGUCCGGAAUCAUUGGGCGUAAAGGGCUCGUAGGCGGCCAACUAAGUCGGACGUGAAAUCCCCAGGCUUAACUUGGGAACUGCGUCCGAUACUGGAUGGCUUGAAUCCGGGAGAGGGAUGCGGAAUUCCAGGUGUAGCGGUGAAAUGCGUAGAUAUCUGGAGGAACACCGGUGGCGAAGGCGGCAUCCUGGACCGGUAUUGACGCUGAGUGAGCGAAAGCCAGGGGAGCAAACGGG
rnacentral:rRNA from 1 species